GAAAUAUUUUAAUUUGAAAUUAUGAUGAAGUUUCAUUUGUUGCUUGUGCUUUUCAUGUCAUAUCUAAGAAAUCACUGCCUAAUCCAAGGGGAUGGCAGCUGUACCCUCUCGGCCCACUGGGGUGGCAGCCCCAAACCUCUCAGUCCAAGGAGGCGCUGUUGGAUAGGGCUCUGCAUCUGUGGCUCUUUCUUCAGGGUCGCCCAGGCUGGAGUGCAGUGGAGCGUGAUCUUGGCUCACUGCAAGCUCCGCCUCCUGGUUCACGCCAUUCUCCUGCCUCAGCCUGCGGAGUAGCUGGAACUACAGGUGCCUGCCACCACACCCGGAUAAUUUUUUGUAGUUUUAGUAGAGAUGAGGUUUCACCGUGUUAGCCAGGAUGGUCUCGAUCUCCUGACUUCGUGAUCCACCGCGCCUGGCCGACAUCACAUUUUACUUCUGUCCAUCAGCUCCUCAGUUUAGGAAAAUCUUAUCUUCCUAACAAAUAGAAAACUCUUGUAGCUCAAAUAAGAGGAAAAGAUGAGGCCUAAUGUUUAAAGUCCUGAUGGAUUCAAAGCCCUGAUGGAGUCUCUCCACUCCUCAUACCUGAAGUCUGAAUAUUUGUCAUCUCAGAUUAUCUACAACUAAGGAGGGAACCUGACUUUUUCUUUGUCCCAGAGUGGGCAGGUUAUUCUCCCUCCCAAUACAAACCACCUUAAGGAAAAGAUACAACUUAUUGGCAUAAAUGGCUGGGAUUGUUCUGAGGUUGUUCAUAGGUUCAAAGAAAUUGCUGCAGGGACUAGAACAAGGCCUCACACCACCAAGAUUUUCCUCACUUCUUCAGGCAGCCUUCUGCCUACCUGUCCCGCAUGGCGUCAUUCCUCAGAAGGCUUCUCCAGGCUCCUGGGAAGAAAAAUGGAACUAAAAAGGGAAAACAAUAGCAACAAAGAUCAAAAUAAAUAACAAGGAAGCGGAGAGAAGAAAGAACAUGGUGAAGAGAGUGAAACGCAUUGUCAUUUGGGGUGAAUUGCAGAAAGAAAUAAAUUAUUGUUCUUAU
rnacentral:lncRNA from 1 species